GCUCGUGAUGAUUUUCGUAUGGAAUCUCGUUCGGCUGAAUAUUCUUGUUGAGAGAUCGGAAUACCUGAAGCUG